UAGCAUUCCUUCGUGCCAUCCUCGCCCGCACAAGGCCGCGGGGGACCGCGGUUACGGAAUCCCAGGGCUAUGAUACGGGCGCGAUGGUCGUUUUAUUCGAGGGACUACGAGAACAUGGAGGAAACUGAAUCCCUCCGCUCGCACAGCAUUCCGCAUCCGAGAGCACGAGCGUCGUCCCGUGGGCCGAAGCAGCCGAAACGGCAUGCCGGGUACACGGGAGCCGCUGUGUGGUCCAUCCAGUGCCUCCGACGAGGCACAAGACGGAUAUAUGUUCGGCAACAAUAUCGAAUUCCGCUGGGUGGGUAUGCAACACAGGAACCCAUUCCUGCCCGAGAGAGCAAUAAGCCUUCGGGCCGCAACUGAGUGGCCUCGAGGCGGACAGUUCGAUGCGUGAGCAAGGAGCCUGCCAACCCCGGCGACC
rnacentral:misc_RNA from 1 species